GACGAACGCUGGCGGCGUGCCUAAUACAUGCAAGUAGAACGCUGAAGGAGGAGCUUGCUUCUCUGGAUGAGUUGCGAACGGGUGAGUAACGCGUAGGUAACCUGCCUGGUAGCGGGGGAUAACUAUUGGAAACGAUAGCUAAUACCGCAUAAUAGCAGUUGUUGCAUGACAACUGUUUGAAAGGUGCACUUGCACCACUACCAGAUGGACCUGCGUUGUAUUAGCUAGUUGGUGGGGUAACGGCUCACCAAGGCGACGAUACAUAGCCGACCUGAGAGGGUGAUCGGCCACACUGGGACUGAGACACGGCCCAGACUCCUACGGGAGGCAGCAGUAGGGAAUCUUCGGCAAUGGACGGAAGUCUGACCGAGCAACGCCGCGUGAGUGAAGAAGGUUUUCGGAUCGUAAAGCUCUGUUGUAAGAGAAGAACGAGUGUGAGAGUGGAAAGUUCACACUGUGACGGUAUCUGACCAGAAAGGGACGGCUAACUACGUG
rnacentral:rRNA from 1 species